CUCGGAUCAGAAUGCUGUUUCCCCAUGCUCUUCCAAGGCUCAUUGAGCACUGACCCCAGCUCUGCUCAUGCCCCACACAGGUCACCCUCUGGGUAGCCCACUGUGUGGAUUCCAUGAAGCAUGCCCUUCUCCCACACAGUCAUCAGCAGUAUCAAUGACCUCCCUCUUCCCAGCUCCAUCAAAGCCAGCCCUGGAAUUAUUAAAGAAAGUCUGACUCCAAGGCAGCCUUUUCUUUCCUCUGCUGAGUGAUUUUCAUUCCUUACAAGGUCCCUGGAGCCAUGGAACCGGCCUGCUCUUGUGGAGCCUGAAUGGAAU
ensembl:lncRNA